CUCUAAAAUAUUGGCAGUAUUACCUGAAAAUACAAUAGCAGAAUCUACUAAAUUAUCGUAUAACAUCGGAAUUUUACCCCCAAUAUCUAUUUCUUCAUCAAAACUUGACUACAAAACAGUCAAAACUUCCAGCUCAGUUUUCCCGCCAUAUUUAUCCUUGCCAUAUAAGACAACGUCGCCAUAGUAACCACAACAAACUCGUUGCCAGUCCUUUGCAUCACACAUCGAUCGGCGCGCCUAUAGCCGUUUCACCGCCCUCUAUAUAAGCGCCCUG